UUCUAAGAGAGCAAACAUCAGGGAAGAACCAGAUCAAACUUUCCGUGGAGGAACGUGAACUUGUACAUGAGAUGUCCCUGAGUUGCCUCCUAAUUUCCAUUUCCCCCUUCUUUCUUGGUAAUAGAACUCCAGGCUUUAAGGAAGCAAGUUACUGCCUCCAAUAAAGCAGUACACCUGCCAGCUUCCCUUGUCACUAGAGGAGACCAGAUGACUAAGUCCUGGUUAAGAAGUGGAAACAUUGUGUGGGCUCCUGGAAACAGACAGCAGCCUUGAUGGGAGAGGCCUCCUUCUGUGCUCCAUCUAAUGGCAGAGGACGGCCAAAGCUCUCAUGGUCGCCUGGACCAGAAGUGAUCUUGAAGGUAAAAGCCACGUCUGAGGAUGGCAGAGAAGACGGAAAUCCAGGUGACACCCAGGGAACACCAUGUGAGCCCAGACUCCCUGCACAAUAAGGACACAAAUGUCUCUCUUGUUUUCUUGGAGUUUCACUGUUGUAUGUGGCUGAACAUAAACCCAACUAAUUACACAGUGAAGAGACAGACAGGGGGGUGAGAAAGGGGGAUUCCCAUCAAGUUGCAAAGACGGUUGCUUCGGGGACUGAAAGAAGAUAGGUUCCAGCUAGUGAGGGGAGAAAGUUCAGGCAAAGUGCCGCCACUUCAGCUAGCCAAUGCACUUCCGUCCUUGCUACCAUCUUAGUCAUCCUGGACCCUAGGCUGCCGACAGUUCUGCGGGGCAGAAAGCACCUUUUGCCUUCUGAAGCAAACCUCAACUACGGAAGCUCUGCGCCUCCCUCACCCACAGCCCCCGUCCCCAUCACCUGCAGAGAAAAGCUGGAGACCUACUCCAGUCCUGGACAUAAAUGAGUCAGGAACACAGGUGCCGAUACUCGCAUUAGUACUGCCUUAGGCAAGCCGCUUAAUUCCUCUUACCCUGCCCUGGAAUCAAGGGAGGAUAAAAUCCUUCUACACUCAACCCACAAAAUUGAUGUUUGCCUAGAAUUAAUUAAGUGAUGUCAACGGUUUAAAAAGUCAAAAGGAGCACUUGAAAAUGCAAGAUGUUUUUAUUAAACCUGCUUUUUAAUAUCAUGGAGAAACAGCUGAAUCAAAUGUUAAUAGUAUUAAGACUCAGCACUCAUUGAGUAAUAUAUAUGCCAAACCCUGGGCAAGGUGCCUUAAAUGCAAGGUUGCAUUGAAGUCACAGACAACUCCUAGGAGAGGCUGCAAGGCACCGCUGUUGCAACCCGGAGAAGGAAGUUUUUGCCUUCUUUGCUCGGCUCUGAUGAGAUGAAGUACAGCUGCUCCAAAUCGGUGGCCGAAGCCCAACCCGCUGAGAGAAAUGGCUGUCCGAGCACGAAUAUUUCAGAAUCUCCGAGUUGCACACUCGCUACAGACACCCAUAAUGAUUGAGUGCGGGCCAGCACCACCCCUCUCCCAGCCAGCCAGCCAGUGAGAACGAAGAGGAGACAAUAGGUGCUGGCAUUAUCCCCUUUGACGUCCACAGCAAGCUGCAAGGGCUGGGGUGGUCGCUGCUCUACUCUGCAUCUCACCAUGCCACCAAAGAUAGCAAGAAGAAAAAUGCCGGAAAAUCGGCCAAGAAAGAUAAGGACCCCAAGAAGGAACCUGGAGGCAAGGCCAAAAAGAACUGGCCCAAAGGCAAAGUUCGGGACAAGUUCCAUGACCCAGUUUUGUUUGACUAAGCUACUUAGGACCAGCUCCACGAGGAAGCUCCGGCUACAAGCUCAUAGCUCCCACUGUGGUCGCUGAGAGACUGAAGAUGCACGGGUCCCUGGCCAGGGCAGCCCUGCAGGAGUCCUGAGAAAAGGAUUUCCAAACCGGCUUCAAAGUGCAAAACUCAAGUAACUUACACUCGAAAUACCAAGGUGAUGUCCCAGCUGCCCGGGACCAUGAAUUGUACGUUUGGAAAAAUAAAACCACUGAAUGGAUGUGAAAAGAAGCUGGUGAAGACGUCACAGUCCACAUCAGAGUACUUGGGCUCAAUACCCAGCUCAGCUCCUGGCUCCAGCUUCCUGAUGCUGCAAACCCUAGGUGUCAGCAUGUGGUGGCUCAAGCAGGUGGAGCCCUGCUGCCCACGUGCAAGACCCAGUUUGACUUGCCAGCUUCGGGAUUCAACCCCAGCCAAGUCCUGGCUAUUGUGGGCACUGAGGGAGUGAACCAGCAGAUGGGAGUUCUGUCUGUAUUGCUCUGUAUCACUCUCUCUUGCUUUCUUGGUCUCUUUCUCUCUGCCUCUCAAAUAAAUAAACAAAAAUUUUUAAAAGUUUGUGAGAAAAUAGAAUGAAAAGUUUAUGCAAGAAUGUUGAAAUCUACAUAUAGAUUUUUCAUAAUAAACAUUAUCCAUGAAGAUUUUGAAGAACUCUUAUAUUCAUGGAUUUCAAAAUAUUUUUGUAACAAAAUAAGCUUUUUUAAAAAAUCUUGAGCAUAUCCAUUUUUUUAAGAUUUAUUUAUUUGAGAAGCAGAAUUACAGAGAGAGGGAGAGAAAGAGAGCGAGAGGUCUUCCAUCUACUGCUUCACUCCCUAAAUGGCUGUAACAGCCAGAGUUGAGCCAAUCUGGAGCCAGGAGCUUUUUCCAGAUUUCCCACAUGGGUGCAGGGUCCAAAGCACUUGGGCCAUCUUCUACUGCUUUGCCAGGCCAUUAGCAAUGAGCUGGAUUGGAAGUAGAGCAGCCAGGACUCAAACUGGCACUCAUAUGGGAUGCCUGUAAUGCAGGCAGAGACGUAACCUAAUACGCCACAGUGCCGGCCCCGUAUUCAUGUAAUUUUUAAAUUUUUUAUUUCAGAGGCAGGGAAACAAACAGACAGGUCCCAUCUGCUAGCUCAUUGCCCAAAUGCCUGGGCUGGUCCAGGCCAAAGUUAGGAGCCAGGAGCUUAAUCUGGGUCUUCCACAUGGUUGGCAGGGACCAAAUUAUUUGCGCCAACACCUGCUGCCACCCAGGGUCUGCACUGUCAGGAAAUGAGAGUCAGGAACUGGAGGCAGGAAUUGAACCCAGGCACUCUACACUUGACCUUAGCCAAAAGGCCAAGAAGCAAUGACCCCAGACACUCUGAUAUGGGAUAUGGAUGUCCUCCUAACCACUAAGCUAAGUCCCUGUCCCAUAAACAUGUCUUUUCAAGUAUGCUGGUAUUUGGGGUCUAUUUAUUACAGGAGCUACCAUUAUCCUAAGAGAGCAUUUGAUUGAUGAUGACUGGAUAACACUAAUUCUCAACAUCAGCAUGCUGUUUUAGUUGGAAGAGGUAACAAUCCUAUUUGUUUAAGAGUAUAGCCUAUUGGUUUCCCACCCAAACUAAUACAUGUCAAGAACCAAACUCACGUGCCCUCUGAGAAAAUGUAGUUUUUAGACAGUUGAGAGAUUUGUCCAAUGUCGUCCAACAGCUUGGUAGGAGAGGCUGGCCUGGCCUCCUGACUGCCACAUUGCAUCAGCAAGUCAGCAAACAGCUGAUUGCUACAUGUGUUUUAAAGAAAAAUACCCUAAGGGAUUCUCACUUGAAGCUAAUGUUUUCACUCUUCUGUGUGAACACAGACCCAGGUCAAAGCUCAAUCUUCUGACUACAAUUCUGGUACUCGCUCUUUAGGAUAUCUUGGCACAGCCAACAGAAAUACAAAUCUUACAGCCCAAGGAAUGGUGCUUUUCCAGAUCAUAUCUAAAAAUAUUCAUGUGUGGUGCUAUGUAUUUACCUUAAAAAUAGCUUUACACUUUAUCGCAAAAUGAAUGCGUGCUUGCCAUAGAAAUUUAGAAAAUAAAAAUGAGGAAGAAGAGGAGGAGGAGGAAGAGGAGGAGGAGGAAGAGGAGGAAAAAGAAGAAACAAAAAAAGGCUGGCGCCACGGCUCAAUAGGCUAAUCCUCCGCCUAGCGGCGCCAGCACACCAGGUUCUAGUCCCGGUCGGGGCACCGGAUUCUGUCCCGGUUGCCCCUCUUCCAGGCCAGCUCUCUGCUGUGGCCAGGGAGUGCAGUGGAGGAUGGCCCAAAUGCUUGGGCCCUGCACCCCAUGGGAGACCAGGAAAAGCACCUGGCUCCUGGCUCCUGCCAUCGGAUCAGCGCGGUGCGCCGGCCGCAGCGCGCCGGCCGCGGCGGCCAUUGGAGGGUGAACCAACGGCAAAGGAAGACCUUUCUCUCUGUCUCUCUCUCUCACUGUCCACUCUGCCUGUCAAAAAUAAAAAAAUAAAAAAAUAAAAUAAAAAAAAAGAAACAAAAAAAGGAGUCAGGGGUGGAUGUCUGGCAGAGCGGUUAAGACCCCACACCCCAUUUUGGAGAGCCUGGGCUUGAGUCCUGGCUCCCGUCAAUUCUAGCUUCCUUCUAAUGCACGCCCUGGGAGGCAGCCGCUGACGGCUCAAGUAUUUGGGUCCCUGACACACACAUAGGAGACUGGGACUGAGUUCCCAGCUCCUGGCUCCCAACUGGCCCAACCCCCCGCUGCUGCAGGUAUUUGGAGAGUGAAUUAGAGGAUCUCUCCUCUCUCUCUCUCUCUCUCUCUCUCUCUCUCUCUCUCCAGGCCUUUCAUAUAAAUACAAAGUUAUAUAAUAUACAUAAUGAAUACAAAUUUUUAAACAGAAAACAAAAUCAAGCUCACUCAAACAUGUAUGAGAGAAUCAUGCUGUCCCUCCACAGCAUGGUGUUCAGAGACCGCGCAGCAUUGCGCUACAUGAACAUAUCUGAGCUUAUUGACUGAGGACCUACAUGCACCUGCUGUCAAUAAAACAGACCACAGUCUCCGGAGAGAUCAGAGCCAUGGACGUAGCAGUCUUAUGUCAUUGAUUUAUUCACGUAACAAAUACCCUCUCAGCACCAGACACUGCGCCAGGUGCGGGGAGCACCUCCUUGCGGGGGCAGCAUCCCUGCAGCAACAGUGAUCCCUGUGUGACACACGGCUCUUGGGCUUCUCUGCCCCUUCAUCCCUCUCUUUCCUGUUUUUUUUUUUUUUUUUGAAGAAUUUUAUUUAUUUGAGAGGCAGAAAAAUACAGAAACAGCAUUCCCAGCCCCCUGGUUCACUCUCCAAAUGCUCACAACUGCCCCAGGCCAGGGGCUGAAGCUGAGGACUCAGUCCGGGUCUCUGAAUGUGGGUGGCAGAAACCCAAUUACUGGAGCCAUCACCGCUGCCUCCCAAGAUCUGUAUCAGCAGGAAGCUGGAGUGAGGAGUAGGAGCCAGCCACAGAACCAGGCACCCCAGGAUGAGACGCACGUUUAUUGAUUUGUUUUUUAUUUGUUUGCUUAUCUGAGAGCCAGAGUUACAGAGAGAGAGGAGAGAGAAAGAGAGAGAUCUUCCAUCCGCUGGUUCACAGUUGGCCACAACAAGGCUGGGCCAAGCUGAAGCCAGGAGCCAGCAGCUUCAUCUGAGUCUCCCAUGUGGGUGCAGGGACCCAGAGACUAGGGCCAUCCUCCACUGCUCCCCCAAGUGCAUUAAAAGGGAGUUGGAUCAGAAGUAGAGCAGCCAGGACUUGAACCAGCACCCAUAUGGGAUGUCGGCUCUGCAGACCACGGCUUAACCCACUGUACCACAGCACCAGCCCCCGGGAACACGGGCAUCUUAACCACUGGGCCCAAUGCCCACCCCAUCCUUCACCCAUUUUACAACACAGCCAACAUCACAUUAGGAAUGGAUAAGAGCUCAAAAGAAAAGCUUUGUUGCUUUUUGUUUGUUGGUUCACCUUCAAGAAUCACAUAGUUCUAUUGAAUGAAAGCCAGAGAAACAGUAAGAACCCAUGGCAGGUGGCAUUGUUUAUUCAGUUUCCCCUUUCCUCACUGUCCUUCCCUGACCUCCGGUGUUUAGGGUCUGUUCCUUACCCCCAUGGACUUCGUGCUUAGCCAUGUGACUCACACUGGCCAGUGGAACAGGUGCAGAUGGAAAGGACAGCGUUCCAAUUCCACACGGAGGCUGUAAGAGGCAAUGCCUGUUUCUGCCAUUAGGAAAUGAGAGUCCUCCCCUGUGCGCCUGCACGGCGCCAUCAGAAGACUGUGCCUUCCACAGGUGCCUGGUGCUCCCUCAGGGCUCCAGAACAAGAGAUACAUGGAGUGAACCUGAACUUGGCCUGUAGCUUACUGCAGAGCCUCUGCAGGCACCCACAGACCUCCCAGCAAGAAAUAAUCACCUGCUAUGGCCAGCCCCUGAUGUUUGGGGGCUGUUUGCUGCAGCACUUUGUCAUAGCAACAGUUGACUAACACAGGACUUCAUGAAAUAAAGCCUGCCCUUGCAAAGGUCUACCUGAAGUGUCAUGUCCUCCAGGAAGUGUUUCAAGACACUCCCCAUUCCUGUCUGCUCUGCCAAUCAGAAUGCAUCUCCCCCAGUAUCUUGCUUGUGUCUGUUGCAUCUGACAUGGCCUGCAGCCUGCCUUUCAUACACAUGGAAUUGUAGCUGUGUCUACUUUUUUUCCUGGAACAUAAAGUGAUUUUGGUUUUUGUUUUCUUGAGGGUGUGGCACUCAUCACAAGGUCUGUAGACUCUGCAGUGCCUGGCAUGUAGCAGAUGCUCAAAACUGUUUAAUCAAAUGCAUGAAUGAGAAGUUCUCCAGAAAAUGUGGGUAGACUGGAAAGGAGCAAGGACGUGUGGUCCUGCCCCUUGAGAUGAGCGUGGAUUCCAAAGGCAGGGACACAGACACCAUCCUUGUGGGAGGUACGCAUGGAAUCCCAGGCUCCUGGCUUGGGCCUGGCCCGGUUCUACUGUUUUGGGCAUUUGGGAGUGAGCCAUUGGAUAGAAGAUCUUUCUGUAUCUAUCUCUUGGCCUUUCAAAUAAACUGAAAUCAAUAAAUAAAAAUUUGAAUUUAAAAAAUGG